rnacentral:rRNA from 1 species
UACGUAGGGGGCGAGCGUUGUCCGGAAUUACUGGGCGUAAAGCGCGUGUAGGCGGAUGAGCAAGUCUGCUGUGAAAGCUCCUGUCUUAACCGGGAGUGGUCGGUGGAAACUGCUCGUCUGGAGGACGGUAGAGGUAGGUAGAAUUCCCGGUGUAGUGGUGAAAUGCGUAGAGAUCGGGAGGAAUACCUGUGGCGAAGGCGGCCUACUGGGCCGGACCUGACGCUGAGACGCGAAGGCGUGGGGAGCGAACGGG